UUUCCUACGGGAGGCAGCAGUGGGGAAUAUUGGGCAAUGGGCGCAAGCCUGACCCAGCAACGCCGCGUGAAGGAAGAAGGCUUUCGGGUUGUAAACUUCUUUUAUGAGGGACGAAAGAAAUGACGGUACCUCAUGAAUAAGCCACGGCUAACUACGUGCCAGCAGCCGCGGUAAUACGUAGGUGGUACGCGUUAUCCGGAUUUACUGGGUGUAAAGGGCGUGUAGGCGGGACUGCAAUUCAGAUGUGAAACCCAUGGGCUCAACCCAUGGCCUGCAUUU
rnacentral:rRNA from 1 species